CAGCAAACUAGCUUGACGAAGCGAAAAGCGGAACUGUGACCGCCUGUUUGCUGAUUUGUUGUUCACAG
rnacentral:ncRNA from 1 species